rnacentral:rRNA from 1 species
GAUGAACGCUGGCGGCGUGCCUAAUACAUGCAAGUCGAGCGAACGGACGAGAAGCGUUCUUCUCUGAUGUUAGCGGCGGACGGGUGAGUAACACGUGGAUAACCUACCUAUAAGACUGUGAUAACUUCGGGAAACCGUAGCUAAUACCGGAUAAUAUUUUGAACCGCAUGGUUCAAGAGUGAAAGACGGUCUUGCUGUCGCUUAUAGAUGGAUCCGCGCUUCAUUAGCUAGUUGGUAAGGUAACGGCUUACCAAGGCAACGAUGCAUAGCCGACCUGAGAGGGUGAUCGGCCACACUGGAACUGAGACACGGUCCAGACUCCUACGGGAGGCAGCAGUAGGGAAUCUUGCGCAAUGGGCGAAAGCCUGACGGAGCAACGCCGCGUGAGUGAUGAAGGUCUUCGGAUCGUAAACCUCUGUUAUUAGGGAAGAACAUAUGUGUAAGUAACUGUGCACAUAUUGACGGUACCUAAUCAGAAAGCCACGGCUAACUACGUG